ACCAAGUUUAAAAAUUUAAAGGGUGGUGUGAGAGGGAUUAUCCCACCACCCGUGGGGAUUGAACCCCGGCCCCAGUCUUCUUAGGGGGGCGCCCCGGUGGGGAAUUUUUAGACAAUGGGGCCAAACCUUAAUUUACCCCUGCCGGUGUAAUUAAAGAAGCCCCUAGGGUUAAAAAAGUUCUUUCGCCUGGGAAAGAUAAUGCCUGUACCAGGUAAAAAAACCCCGGGUAAAUUCCGUGCCAGCAGCCGCGGUAAUACGGAGGGGGUUAGCGUUGUUCGGAAUUACUGGGCGUAAAGCGCACGUAGGCGGACAUUUAAGUCAGGGGUGAAAUCCCGGGGCUCAACCCCGGAACUGCCCUUGAUACUGGGUGUCUUGAGUUCGAGAGAGGUGAGUGGAAUUCCGAGUGUAGAGGUGAAAUUCGUAGAUAUUCGGAGGAACACCAGUGGCGAAGGCGGCUCACUGGCUCGAUACUGACGCUGAGGUGCGAAAGUGUGGGGAGCAAACAGGAUUAGAUACCCUGGUAAUCCACACCGUAAACGAUGAAUGCCAGACGUCGGGCAGUAUACUGUUCGGUGUCACACCUAACGGAUUAAGCAUUCCGCCUGGGGAGUACGGUCGCAAGAUUAAAACUCAAAGGAAUUGACGGGGGCCCGCACAAGCGGUGGAGCAUGUGGUUUAAUUCGAUGCAACGCGAAGAACCUUACCAGGGUUUGACAUGAUACGAAUUUCUUUGAAAGAAGAAAGUGCCGUUUGGAACGUAUACACAGGUGGUGCAUGGCUGUCAUCAGCUCGUGUCGUGAGAUGUUGGGUUAAGUCCCGCAACGAGCGCAACCCUUGUUUUUAGUUGCCUUUUAUGGAACUCUAAAAAGACUGCUGGUUAUAAACCGGAGGAAGGUGGGGAUGACGUCAAGUCAGCAUGCCCCUUACACCCUGGGCUACACACGUGCUACAUUGGGCGAGACAAUGAGAUGCAAAUCUGCGAAGACUAGCUAAUCUAUAAACUCGUUCUAAGUUCGGAUUGUAGGCUGCAACUCGCCUACAUGAAGGUGGAAUCGCUAGUAAUCGCUGGUCAGCUACACAGCGGUGAAUUCGUUCCCGGGCCUUGUACACACCGCCCGUCACACCAUGGAAGCUGGUUAUGCCCGAAGUCAUUACUCUAACCAUUCGGAGGAGGGUGCCUAAGGUAGAAUUAGUGACUGGGGUGAAGUCGUAACAAGGUAACCGUA
rnacentral:rRNA from 1 species